rnacentral:rRNA from 1 species
AUGGUGCGAUGCAUGGCCAAGGAGCGGCGGGUGCGGAUGGUGGCGAAGCAGAUCCAGUGGGAGCUGGCGGACAUGCUGACCUGCGACCCCGUCAUGCAGCUCGCCAUCCUCCCCGAGUCCGCCCUCGGCGCCAAUUGCUACCUCUCCUCCCCCACCACCAUCGCCGACGUCGAGCUCUCCAAUGACCUCUAG